AAUAAAGUUCGUGCGCGCCGGGAGCGGAAGCGGAAGCGGUGAAUCUCCAUGGCGGUGGCGGCGGCAGCGGCGGCGGGACCCGUGUUCUGGAGGCGACUACUGGGCCUCCUGCCUGGCCGCCCAGGGCUGGCCGCGCUCCUGGGACGCCUGUCCGACCGCCUCGGCAGGAACCGGGACCGCCAGCGCAGGAGGUCACCAUGGCUGUUACUGGCUCCCCUGCUGUCCCCCACUGUUCCCCAGGUCACCUCCCCACCUUGCUGCCUGUGUCCGGAAGGCGUGCACCGGUUCCAGUGGAUCAGAAACCUGGUUCCAGAAUUUGGAGUCUCCAGUUCUCACGUCAGGGUGCUUUCUUCCCCAGCAGAGUUUUUUGAGCUCAUGAAGGGGCAGAUAAGAGUGGCCAAGAAGCGGGUCGUGAUGGCAUCCCUCUACCUGGGGACAGGUCCUUUGGAACAGGAACUGGUGGACUGCCUGGAAAGUACUCUAGAAAAGUCACUCCAAGCAAAGUUUCCUUCAAAUCUCAAGGUCUCCAUUCUCUUAGACUUCACGCGGGGCUCACGAGGCCGGAAGAACUCCCGCACGAUGCUGCUCCCACUUCUGCAGAGGUUCCCAGAGCAGGUCCGAGUCUCCCUCUUUCACACGCCGCACCUCCGCGGCCUGCUCCGGCUCCUCAUCCCUGAGCGCUUCAACGAGACCAUUGGCCUGCAGCACAUUAAGGUGUAUCUCUUCGACAACAGCGUCAUCUUGAGCGGUGCAAACCUGAGUGACUCCUACUUCACCAACCGCCAGGAUCGCUACGUGUUCCUGCAGGACUGCGUGGAGAUCGCCGACUUCUUCACGGAGCUGGUGGACGCGGUGGGGGAUGUGUCCCUGCAGCUGCAGGGGGACGACACGGUGCAGGUGGUGGAUGGGAUGGUGCAUCCUUACAAAGGUGACCGGGCCGAGUACUGCAAGGCAGCCAAUAAGAGGGUCAUGGAUGUGAUCAACUCAGCCAGGACCCGCCAGCAGAUGCUGCAUGCCCAGACCUUCCACAGCAACUCCCUUUUGACCCAGGAAGAUGCAGCAGCUGCUGGGGAUCGCAGACCAGCCCCUGACACCUGGAUUUAUCCGCUGAUUCAGAUGAAGCCCUUCGAGAUUCAAAUUGAUGAGAUUGUCACUGAGACCCUGUUGACUGAGGCGGAGCGUGGUGCAAAGGUCUACCUCACCACUGGCUACUUCAACCUGACCCAGGCCUACAUGGACCUGGUCUUGGGCACUCGGGCUGAGUACCAGAUCCUGCUGGCCUCACCAGAGGUGAAUGGCUUCUUUGGGGCCAAGGGAGUGGCUGGCGCCAUCCCAGCGGCCUAUGUGCACAUCGAGCGGCAGUUCUACAGCGAGGUGUGCAGCCUGGGACAGCAGGAGCGGGUCCAGCUGCAGGAGUACUGGCGGAGGGGCUGGACGUUCCAUGCCAAAGGCCUCUGGCUGUACCUGGCAGGGAGCAGCCUGCCCUGUCUCACGCUGAUUGGCUCUCCUAAUUUUGGGUACAGGUCAGUUCACCGGGACCUGGAGGCCCAGAUUGCGAUCGUGACAGAGAACGAGGCCCUGCAGCAGCAGCUUCACCAGGAGCAAGAGCAGCUCUACCUGAGGUCAGGGGUGGUGUCCUCUGCCACCUUCGAGCAGCCGAGUCGCCAGGUGAAGCUGUGGGUGAAGAUGGUGACUCCACUGAUCAAGAACUUCUUCUGAGGACAGACAGGUGCUGUCUCUAGCAUCGUCUCAGCACGGUUUUCCCGGGAGUUCACAGGAAUGGCCUUGAUGAAGAUGACAGGCAUGGCUGGGGUCAGCUCCUUCAGCCGCGCUUCUGCGAUGACUCCGGUCUGGGUGUCCCAGCGAGCCCCUGCGGGGACAGUAUGGCUGAGGGCCGGGUGUGCUGCCAGUAAGUAAGGGAGGGGUCCUCCCUUUGCAGAGAUGGGCUCCACCCCAAAAGGCUUCAGGCCAGGUGCCACAGCAGGAAGCAGAGGCCUUCGUAGGUGAUGGCGUGCAUGUUGUAACUACCCCGUCUCGCUGGGCACAAGGAACCGCUCAGCUAAAGCCCUCGGGUUCCAUCCGUUUAAAUCUGUGGCGUUUUCAGAGCCUCAUCUGUCAGCCUUAAUGUCAGUGGCAGGAAAUCAUAACUCCAGCUAACAAUUAAAGUUCCCUGAUUCUUUAUGUGUGAUGUCUGCUCUAUGUGUACAUACAGCUAUGUAUAUAAAUAUUAUUUGCCUUCAACCAGA